CAGUCGCCGCGGGAAUACGGAGGGUGCAAGCGUUAAUCGGAAUUACUGGGCGUAAAGCGUGCGUAGGCGGUUCGUUAAGUCUGUUGUGAAAGCCCCGGGCUCAACCUGGGAAUGGCAAUGGAUACUGGCGAGCUAGAGUAUGGCAGAGGGGGGUAGAAUUCCACGUGUAGCAGUGAGAUGCGUAGAGAUGUGGAGGAAUACCGAUGGCGAAGGCAGCCCCCUGGGCCAAUACUGACGCUCAUGCACGAAAGCGUGGGGAGCAAACAGGAUUAGAUACCCGUGUAGUCCCUGUCUCUUAUAC
rnacentral:rRNA from 1 species